rnacentral:rRNA from 1 species
UUAGAGUUUGAUCCUGGCUCAGGAUGAACGCUGGCGGCGUGCCUAAUACAUGCAAGUCGAACGCACAGCGAAAGGUGCUUGCACCUUUCAAGUGAGUGGCGAACGGGUGAGUAACACGUGGAUAACCUACCUCAAGGUUGGGGAUAACAUUUGGAAACAGAUGCUAAUACCGAAUAAAACUUAGUAUCGCAUGAUACCAGGUUAAAAGGCGCUACGGCGUCACCUAGAGAUGGAUCCGCGGUGCAUUAGUUAGUUGGUGGGGUAAAGGCUUACCAAGACAAUGAUGCAUAGCCGAGUUGAGAGACUGAUCGGCCACAUUGGGACUGAGACACGGCCCAAACUCCUACGGGAGGCUGCAGUAGGGAAUCUUCCACAAUGGGCGAAAGCCUGAUGGAGCAACGCCGCGUGUGUGAUGAAGGCUUUCGGGUCGUAAAGCACUGUUGUAUGGGAAGAACAGCUAGAGUAGGGAAUGACUUUAGUUUGACGGUACCAUACCAGAAAGGGACGGCUAAAUACGUGCCAGCAGCCGCGGUAAUACGUAUGUCCCGAGCGUUAUCCGGAUUUAUUGGGCGUAAAGCGAGCGCAGACGGUUAAUUAAGUCUGAUGUGAAAGCCCGGAGCUCAACUCCGGAAGGGCAUUGGAAACUGGUUAACUUGAGUGCAGUAGAGGUAAGUGGAACUCCAUGUGUAGCGGUGGAAUGCGUAGAUAUAUGGAAGAACACCAGCGGCGAAGGCGGCUUACUGGACUGUAACUGACGUAGGCUCGAA